rnacentral:rRNA from 1 species
GACGAACGCUGGCGGCGUGCUUAACACAUGCAAGUCGAACGGAAAGGCCCUGCUUUUGUGGGGUGCUCGAGUGGCGAACGGGUGAGUAACACGUGAGUAACCUGCCCUUGACUUUGGGAUAACUUCAGGAAACUGGGGCUAAUAACGGAUAGGAGCUCCUGCUGCAUGGUGGGGGUUGGAAAGUUUCGGCGGUUGGGGAUGGACUCGCGGCUUAUCAGCUUGUUGGUGGGGUAGUGGCUUACCAAGGCUUUGACGGGUAGCCGGCCUGAGAGGGUGACCGGCCACAUUGGGACUGAGAUACGGCCCAGGCGCCUACGGGAGGCAGCAGUGGGGAAUAUGGCAAAAUGGGCGGAAGCCUGAUGCCGCAACGCCGCGUGCGAGAUGACUGCCUUCGGGUUGGAAACAGCUUUCGCCUGUGACGAAGCGUGAGUGACGGUAAUGGGUAAAGAAGCACCGGCUAACUACGUG